rnacentral:lncRNA from 1 species
AUGGGUGUGAUAAAAGUGGUUUUCUGUCUGACGCUGUUUGUGCUCCUCUUGGAGGGAGCACGAGCACGCGUUCCCGCUAAUGUUGACGACGAUUCGUCAGAGCAGACGGAGUCAAAGCGGGUGAGUCUGUCAUCAAGUGACCUGUCACGUAUGAUGCUGCAAACACUGGGACAAACAUACGAGGACAUCGCUUUGGAUGUCGACCACCGCAAGGAGCAAGUUGCGCCCUACAUGGAACGCGCCCUCAAGUGGGGUCAAAGCAAGAGGUCCAUUCCGACGUUGAAAAAAGCUCUAGCUCGGGCCUUGGACUACGCAAAGAAGAAUAUUCUGGAAACCCACAAAGAAGCCCAGGAGAAAAUAUGCGAACGCCAGGCAACGGUUAAGAAAUUUGUAGAUUUCUUUCCACCUUCAGAUCCUGAAUUGGCCAAACUGACCGACUCUACCGACAGCUAUUCACAGGCUCCCGGUUUCAAAAAGCUCGAUGAACUCAUAAUUCAGCUCGAGAGUAUGGAAGAUCGCGUCGACAGCCAAUUGAAUCCCGUCGCAGGCAAGAUGUCAACCACCCUGACCGAUUGGAAAGCGUACUUCGCGCGUAGGGGCAGAGAGGCGGAGAAACUCUUUAUCAGCGAGAUGGAUCUAAUCAAGACAGCUUCUCAGACAGCUUUUGAUGCUUUGUAUGAUGCAAUGGUCAUCAAAGACAACUUGCAAAUGCCCAUGAAGAAUGGCCAAAAAUCGAUGAAUAUUAAAGAAAAGGCAGCACUCUUGAGGAUGGUGUCUGAUCUUGAUGAAAAACUGGGAUGCACUCCUGAAGAUGAUGUCUCGUCUUGAUGAAAAACUGGGAUGUUAAGGAAUAAAGGAAAGCUUACGGUCACGGUAUACCGUUUCGUUUCAUUGAAACGUUUCGUUUCAUCGAAACGUUUCGUUUGAUAACCCUUCGCAAAUUUUGAAAAAAAAUAAAAAAAAUAAAAAUAAAAUAUUCUCAACUCUUGAAUUGGCCUUACGAUUUAAUUUUAAACCUGUGCAUCGUUACAAUUAUUUUUGACUAAAACUUCACUCAAAAAUAAGUAUCUGUGCCCAAAUAUUCUUAGCUUCUCCUCUUCUUCUCUCAAAUGCCGCAGUAUAUUCCGAAUUUCAUUCAGAAAAGUGUAUUGUUUUAUAUCGCCAAAAAUUUGCCCGAGUAUAUUUGCCACUUAGGAAAAUAGGCUCAGCUGCUGAAGCACAUAAAACAUGAUCAAUUUUUUGUCAAAUGCCGUUGAUUGACAAAGCCCUGUCCUUAAAUGACACCUGACAUUCGCAUUUGAAGCUCGUCCCUUCCAGCGUUAAAAUCUUCAGUGGGUUAAUUUAUUGAAACGGUCGAAUGAAUUCGAUCAACAAAUCCCUAUUCCCCAAUGCCAUAUCAAAAAUCAUGCUUUUGAGCUUUGGUCGUUUUUGUUUCUUUCGUUAAAAUUCCCAGCGGGUCCAUCAUUGAACCUUUUUUCAAACUAUUUCGAUCGACAAAGCCUAGUCUUUCAAUUGUAUUUAUUGGUCAAGGUUAUCGGGCAAGCAGUACAUUUAGUUUUAGUUGUUUUUUCUUCCCCCGCGUCCAAGUCUCUACGCGAGUUUCUUCCGCCUAAUAAUACUCGUUGUAAGUUCUAUCUCGUAAUUUUCUCUGCUGCUCAGAGUCAUUCGAUAUUUCAACCUCGUUUCUUUCCCCUUAUUUUUCUGGCGUUAGAGUCUUCGGUAAGGUGAUUACUGAACCAUUCGUCAAAUGUCUUCGAUAGACAAAUCCUUCCCUUCCACUGCUUUUUUAUUUAUCAAGGUGGUUUGACAAUCCGUCGAUUGAAACACAAUAUCUUUCCCUCUUUCAUGUUGAAGUCUGCGACUGAAUAAUUAUUGAACCUUCGCGCCGACAAGUAUGAACGGAAAGGUCUUCUGUGUCAAGGAAGAUCCUCCAAUAUACUGUCGAUCGAGUUUCAGGGGUCAGAUCCGAUUCAACAGACUAUUUCAGACUUACGUGACGGAAAGUUUUUCUAUUUUGCGAGGUAUUGAUUAAUAUUUUCAGUUGUAGUAUUAAACCUGGUCACGGUAUUGUUUCGAUCCAUUUUGAUACAAUUGAUGCCUUCCUCAAUUAUUAAGAGCCUCUGCAGUGCCGUCAUGUCUAAAUCGAUGGCCAAAGUUCGAAACCAUGCAGUUUACGCCAUUAUAGACUAUCUUACGCGCCUGUCUUACGCUAUUUUUUCUCCGGUAACAAUGAAAUGUAAUUUUUAGAUUUUUUUUCUCAUUUAACAGAAUAUUCUAUAGGAAUUUCAUGUUAUAAAGUUAGCUUAUUUCUCCUCGGAAAGGGGUGGAAGGUUUGGAACACUGCGAUUCAGAAUUCAGAUACGCAGUUUCGCACGUAUCAAAAUUCUAGAAGGCUAUGCCCCCUGGCUGCUACGUGGCCCAAACCUCAGAGGGCGCCUCGCGCUCCGUUAGGCCUGCGUCGACGAAAGAAUGACCCCCAAAAAAGGAAAAGAUAUUCAUAUCCAACUCUCAUUUGUCCGAUGUCCCGGUGGCCGGGAGUGAUAGGACCAAUAAGAGGGUUAUAUUAUGUUUCGUCAACGAUUUCUUAUGCGCGCAAAUGCAUUGCGCAAUGCUUGAAGUAUCCCUGUAGGCUUGUAGGCGCUAGUGCGUGUUUUGCGCUGGCGCGCGGCGGCAGUACGCCCGCCGCGCCGCUCCGCUUUGUGUUUUGCUCUUAUAUUUAAACUCGCGGAGUCAGCGUUUUAAACUCACGAUGUUUACACACUCUGCAUGGAUUAUUCUCAUUUAAAUUGAUGCGAAGAAAUAUGUAUUAAAGGAAAAUAUAAUGUGUGUUUUGUAAAUAUUAAGGUAGUUCCGUGUUGAAUUUAAUGAUUUCGUAACUUUACCACGUCAUAUACAAAAACCUGGGUCAUAUUUCCAAAAUCUGAAUAAAGCGGGCUCAUAUAG